rnacentral:tRNA from 1 species
GGCCGUGUGGUCUAGUAGUAUGAUACUCGCUUUGGGUGCUUCUUCUGAAGAUUGCGAGUGGUCCUGGGUUCAAUUCCCAGCUCGGCCC